GAGGAAUUGGCCAGGUGAGGAAGCUGUGGCCUGUUCUGCUUCUCUGAUCUUUCAGCGUUCACCCCAAUACCUGGCUCCAGGAGACACUGGAGAGACGCCACCUCGACCUGCAGUAGCUGUAGUCUCCCCAGGGAGACUGCCUUGAGAGACUGGACCUGACCUUCAGGUAAGAGACACCGCACAGGUGAGCAGCCUUGGGGACAGACAGAGAAUGUAGUUAAGAACUUGAGUGUGGCUGGGUAGUGGUGGCGCACGCCUUUGAUUCCAGCACUCGGGAGGCAGAGGUAGGCGGAUCUCUGUGAGUUCGAGGCCAGCCUGGUCUACAGAGUGAGUUCCAGGAAAGGCGCAAAGCUACACAGAGAAACCCUGUCUCGAAAAACCAAAAAACAAAAUAAAAUAAAAUAAAAUAAAAAAACACCAAAAACCAAACCAAACAACAAACAAGAACUUGAGUGUAGCGGUGGUGGCGCACGCCUUUAGUCCCAGCACUCGGGAGGCAGAGGCAGGCGGAUCUCUGUGAGUUCGAGGCCAGCCUGGGCUAGAGAGCGAGAUCCAGGGCAGCCGGGGCUGCACAGAGAAACCCCGUCUCGGAAAACCGAAUAUGUAUCUUACUAUACCAAUGAAGACAGCUUGCGGCAGCAGUGCCUCGCUGUGGGCGGAUAAACUGGAAGCUUCCCGCUCUAGAACAGUCCAUGGAGGUCCUGGAUGCAGCCCCUGCCCCCAGCCACCGGCUGGGCUCGAGGACACUCGGGGGCACAGGGGUCCCCUCACAUCCUGUUUCCACUCCUGCUUUCUGGGGUGGGAACUGGGUCACCUGGACGGUACUAGGUUCUGUCAGAGGCGGCAUGCAAACGAGCUGGCGAGGCCUUCCUCUUUCCACC